rnacentral:rRNA from 1 species
GGGGAAUAACCCGCCGAAAGGCGGGCUAAUACCGCAUAACAUUCCUUGGACUCCGGUUCGAGGAUUCAAAGGCGUAAGUCGUCGGAGGUGGAGCCCGCGCACGAUUAGCUAGUUGGUGAGGUAAUGGCUCACCAAGGCUUUGAUCGUUAGCUGGUCUGAGAGGAUGGCCAGCCACACUGGAACUGAGACACGGUCCAGACUCCUACGGGAGGCAGCAGUGGGGAAUCUUGCACAAUGGGCGAAAGCCUGAUGCAGCGACGCCGCGUGGGGGAUGAAGCUUCUCGGAGUGUAAACCCCUUUCGACCGGGACGAAUACCUCGCAAGAGGGGUGACGGUACCGGUAUAAGAAGCCCCGGCUAACUACGUGCCAGCAGCCGCGGUAAGACGUGGGGGGCCAGCGUUGCUCGGAAUUACUGGGUGUAAAGGGUUCGUAGGCGGUGUGGCAAGUCGGGAGUGAAAUCUCUGGGCUUAACCCAGGGGCUGCUUCCGAAACUGCCGUGCUAGAGUGUGGGAGAGGCGCGUGGAAUUGCAGGUGUAGCGGUGAAAUGCGUAGAUAUCUGCAGGAACACCCGUGGCGAAAGCGGCGCGCUGGACCACUACUGACGCUGAGGAACGAAAGCUAGGGGAGCAAACAGGAUUAGAUACCCUGGUAGUCCUAGCCCUAAACGAUCAGGACUUGGGGUGCCACCCGUUCGGGUGUCGUCCCGGAGCUAACGCGUUAAGUCCUGCACCUGGGGAGUACGGUCGCAAGACUGAAACUCAAAGGAAUUGACGG